rfam:Monodelphis domestica chromosome 7, whole genome shotgun sequence.
CAAAAGGCUUCAUUAGAAGCUACUUAUAGUUGCGUGAAAAAUACU